UGAGAACUCUGCAAGGCACGAUGUGGAUAAGAAGUUUAUGGGGGUGCACCCCUCCCAAGUCUAGGGCAAUCCCUCACCACGUGGCAUGUGUCACCACACUCAAUACAAGCUCUGGGAGGACGUUGUGGUUAGGGCUGGCUAGGGCCAGGUCUACUUGAUUGACCUCUGAAAGCACCCACGCAGGAGGUGCGCUAGAAAUCAGAGGUGCAUAAUAAGGCUCUUGAGAUCUAGGAGGAGCUGGAGCACUACUAGCUGCUGGAAGAGCUGAAUGAAUAGGGAACCUCAUAUACCCCUACCAUGAUGACCUGCAGCUGGGGUACGGGCACCAUAAUAAUGGCCUAACUCUCGAGACCUCUUGGCCUCCCUAUCCUCUCUCUCCCUAGCAUGCAUACACUCAAUACUCUUAGCAAUACUCACCACCUGAUGAUAAGAAAUAUCCAUCUCCAACUCAGAAGCUAUGCCAAAUUAGAUGCUGGGAAUAAGGCUCUCAAUAAACCGGCAAACUCUCUCACAUACAGUAGAAACCAAGGCUAAUGCAUGCCUAGACAAAUUGGUGUAACAGACAACAUACUCUGAAAAGGUCAUACCACCCUAGUGCAAAAACUCAAACUCUGCAUCUCCAUUCAUCCCUGAGGCUCUGAGGAACACACUCUCUUAGGAAUAGAUCUAAAACUGAGCCCAUGUCAGUGAAGCAGCCUCAUCUGGACUAUCUAACUCAUAAGUGUGCCACAACUCAUAGGCGGCCCCUCGAAGCUGAAAGGUACUGAAAGAAACCUCGCUAGAUCCUAGAUACCCAUGGUACGAAGAAUGCGGUAACACUCAUCAAGAAAUACAAAGGCAUCCUCCGAUGCUAGACCACUGAAUAUAUUAGGCAUGUACUUCUUGAACCUCUCAAGCCUCAAUGUUAAUCCUCAGAAACCGCUGCCCGGUCCUCGGGCUAAAUUUGUACUGCAGGCAGUACAGGAAUAAUCUCGAGGACCUACUCAACAUGCACUCCUUACUUAGGAGUGUGGGCGGUGGGAGUCUGUGCUCCUCUCUUGGCCUGGGAUGUGGCUGCAACAAAGGGAAGCAACCCUGUUUGAGCCAAAGUGGUGUACAUGCUCAUGAACUGUGCCAGAGUAUCGUGAAGAGCUGGGGUAGUAGUAGCAGUAGUAGGCAUGUUAGGUGCCUAGACUCCAGCUAGAACUACUGGUGGUACCUCGGCGGUAGCUCGCGCAGGUGCUCUAGCUCCACCACAUGCGUGUCCUCGUCCUGCAUUGCAGCCCCAACCUCUAACAGCUUCAGUAGGGGGCACGAGUGUCUGAUCAUCUCGAGUAGAUGUCGUCACCAUCUAUGGGAGAAUCAAAGAUAGAAUUUUAGAAUUGUGAUGUCAGAAUACCGCACGACAAGGAAAUUAAAUGAAGUGGAAAUUUUCCUAACAGUUACAUAGCCUCUCAUAGAUAAGUACAGACAUCUCUAUACUGAUUAGUAAGACUCUAAUAAAUUGGCUUGUGAUCUGUGACUCCAAUGAACCUAGAGCUAUUAUACCAACUUGUCAUGACCCCGGUUCACUUUUCGUGAACCACCAUGAUUGCACCUAGUCUCUACGACUAGGUAAGCCUAAAUUGUGGAAGCAAACUAAACUUACAGAAAUAAAGCGAUUUUAAUAGCAAAAUCAAAGCAAUAAUAGUGUUCAAUGUGCCACUCAGCAUACUCAAUAUAUGUAUAUCAGUCUCAAAACCCAAUAUCUAAAUCCAAGACGCG
rnacentral:lncRNA from 1 species